rnacentral:rRNA from 1 species
AGUUUGAUCCUGGCUCAGGAUGAACGCUAGCUACAGGCUUAACACAUGCAAGUCGAGGGGCAGCAUUGGAGUAGCAAUACUUCAGAUGGCGACCGGCGCACGGGUGAGUAACACGUAUCCAACCUGCCGCUUACUCGGGGAUAGCCUUUCGAAAGAAAGAUUAAUACCCGAUGGUAUAAAGAGUUCGCAUGUUCUCUUUAUUAAAGAAUUUCGGUAAGCGAUGGGGAUGCGUUCCAUUAGAUAGUUGGCGGGGUAACGGCCCACCAAGUCUACGAUGGAUAGGGGUUCUGAGAGGAAGGUCCCCCACAUUGGAACUGAGACACGGUCCAAACUCCUACGGGAGGCAGCAGUGAGGAAUAUUGGUCAAUGGACGCGAGUCUGAACCAGCCAAGUAGCGUGAAGGAUGACUGCCCUAUGGGUUGUAAACUUCUUUUAUAAGGGAAUAAAGUGAGGGACGUGUCCCUUUUUGUAUGUACCUUAUGAAUAAGGAUCGGCUAACUCCGUGCCAGCAGCCGCGGUAAUACGGAGGAUCCAAGCGCUAUCCGGAUUUAUUGGGUUUAAAGGGAGCGUAGGUUGACAUAUAAGUCAGCUGUGAAAGUUUACGGCUCAACCGUGAAAUUGCAGUUGAUACUGUAUGUCUUGAGUGUACAAGAGGUGGGCGGAAUUCGUGGUGUAGCGGUGAAAUGCUUAGAUAUCACGAAGAACUCCAAUUGCGAAGGCAGCUCACUGGGGUACAACUGACACUGAGGCUCGAAAGUGUGGGUAUCAAACAGGAUUAGAUACCCCGGUAGUCCACACAGUAAACGAUGAAUACUCGCUGUUUGCGAUAUACAGUAAGCGGCCAAGCGAAAGCAUUAAGUAUUCCACCUGGGGAGUACGCCGGCAACGGUGAAACUCAAAGGAAUUGACGGGGGCCCGCACAAGCGGAGGAACAUGUGGUUUAAUUCGAUGAUACGCGAGGAACCUUACCCGGGCUUGAAUUGCAGAGGAAUAUAGUUGAAAGAUUAUGGCCGCAAGGUCUCUGUGAAGGUGCUGCAUGGUUGUCGUCAGCUCGUGCCGUGAGGUGUCGGCUUAAGUGCCAUAACGAGCGCAACCCUUAUCAUUAGUUACUAACAGGUGAUGCUGAGGACUCUAGUGAGACUGCCGUCGUAAGAUGUGAGGAAGGUGGA